AACCCAAACUUCCUUGAGUGAGUCUUCUGAGUAACCGAUUAAAUCAAUCAAAACUUUCAACAACGGAUCUCUUGGUUCUGGCAUCGAUGAAGAACGCAGCGAAAUGCGAUAAGUAAUGUGAAUUGCAGAAUUCAGUGAAUCAUCGAAUCUUUGAACGCACAUUGCGCCCGCCAGUAUUCUGGCGGGCAUGCCUGUUCGAGCGUCAUUACAUCCCUCAAGCCCCCGGGCUUGGUGUUGGGGAUCGGCGAGCCUCAGCGCCCGCCGUCCCCUAAAUUUAGUGGCGGUCACGCUGUAACUUCCUCUGCGUAGUAGCACACUUAGCACUGGGAAACAGCGCGGCCACGCCGUAAAACCCCCCAACUUUUGAACGUUUGACCUCGAAUCAGGUAGGACUACCCGCUGAACUUAAGCAUAUCAAUAAGGC
rnacentral:rRNA from 1 species